UAGUUUAUCAGUGAAAUGUUGGAGAAUGUGAUGCAUGUUGGGAACUGUAGGUUAUCAGUGUAAAUGCUAUGUGGAGUUAUGUGUAGUGAAUCAGUGCUCACGAAC